rnacentral:rRNA from 1 species
UACGUAUGGUGCAAGCGUUAUCCGGAUUUACUGGGCGUGAAGGGAGCGCAGGCGGCGCGCCAAGUCUGAUGUGAAACCCCGGGGCUCAACCCCGGGCAUGCAUUGGAAACUGGCGGGCUGGAGUGCCGGAGAGGUAAGCGGAAUUCCUAGUGUAGCGGUGAAAUGCGUAGAUAUUAGGAGGAACACCAGUGGCGAAGGCGGCUUACUGGACGGCAACUGACGCUGAGGCUCGAAAGCGUGGGGAGCAAACAGG